rnacentral:rRNA from 1 species
GUAGGUGGCAAGCGUUGUCCGGAAUUAUUGGGCGUAAAGCGCGCGCAGGUGGUUCUUUAAGUCUGAUGUGAAAGCCCCCGGCUCAACCGGGGAGGGUCAUUGGAAACUGGGGAACUUGAGUGCAGGAGAGGAAAGUGGAAUCCACGUGUAGCGGUGAAAUGCGUAGAUAUGUGGAGGAACACCAGUGGCGAAGGCGACUUUCUGGCCUGUAACUGACACUGAGGCGCGAAAGCGUGGGGAGCAAACAGGGAUUAGAUACCCUGGUAGUCCACGCCGUAAACGAUGAGUGCUAAGUGUUGGGGGGGUUUCCCGCCCCUCAGUGCUGCAGCUAACGCAUUAAGCACUCCGCCUGGGGAGUACGGUCGCAAGACUG